GACCUCUCAUGUGACAGGAAUUUCAUUCAGAACUGGACUUUAUCUACCUGGGGAUUUAUUUGCUGAAAUAUGCUCUGCUCCCCAGCUGGAGAUAUAAGCCUCCUGAGCAGCCAAGGCAGGACUUCACAGCAAGGACAGAGGGACAAUGACUUGUAAACCCCCAAGCGCAAGUUCACAGUGAGAGCCAAUCCCUCCUCCAGAACAGCAAGAUUAUGAGACACGCAGUGAGAACAACCAGGAGGACACUAAGCACAGCACCAACAGCCUGGCUUCUCCUUGAAAGACCUUUAUGUAUUUGGGUCUCCUCAUCUGUCUGCUGGUGAUUGUUUCCUGGAUCAUUGGUUGAUCUAGCAAUGGAAAUUGAAAAGAUAAGGUCUAUUGAUAAAUUUUUUAAACUGGAUUAGAAACAUCAGAUUAAAAGAAGACAUGCCACGC